UUUUUUUUUUUUUUUUUAGAUUUCUGAAAAAAAAAACUAAAAAAAUUUUGGAAUUAAUUCUUUUUAUUUUUUAAAAGCUAAAUCUCCUAAUUUGAUGUUAGGACUCACCUAUGAAACGUUUUUAUUGUUUUAAUAUAAUGUCAUUUUAUUGCUAGCUUUUCAAAGCCCAAAAUACCUUGUGAUAACUAGUAUUUGUUGGUUGUUCUCCCUUUGGUUUAGUCUACUGGACAGCUUCACUACUGACACUACAUACAUUUUGUCCUUUCAAUAAAAAGAGUUGUUUCAAUACUUGGAAC